GGGAUCAGAGGACGGAAGAGGCAGCCGUCGCCCACCAAAAGGUAUUAGGAGAUGUGGGAGUGUAGCCCCACCUGAUCCC
rnacentral:ncRNA from 1 species